GACGAACGCUGGCGGCGUGCUUAACACAUGCAAGUCGAACGCUGAAGCUCAGCUUUUGUUGGGUGGAUGAGUGGCGAACGGGUGAGUAACACGUGAGUAACCUGCCCCCUUCUUUGGGAUAACGCCCGGAAACGGGUGCUAAUACUGGAUAUUCACUGGUCUUCGCAUGGGGGUUGGUGGAAAGGGUUUUUCUGGUGGGGGAUGGGCUCGCGGCCUAUCAGCUUGUUGGUGGUGUGAUGGCCUACCAAGGCUUUGACGGGUAGCCGGCCUGAGAGGGUGACCGGUCACAUUGGGACUGAGAUACGGCCCAGACUCCUACGGGAGGCAGCAGUGGGGAAUAUUGCACAAUGGGCGCAAGCCUGAUGCAGCGACGCCGCGUGAGGGGUGGAGGCCUUCGGGUUGUGAACCUCUUUCGCUCAUGGUCAAGCCGCAACAAUGGUUGUGGUGAGGGUAGUGGGUAAAGAAGCGCCGGCUAACUACGUG
rnacentral:rRNA from 1 species